GUGGUUCAGAUCAGCGGUGUAGUCUACAUGAUAUGCAGGUAUACGCAGUAUACCCACUAAGAAAGUUCCAGGAUUUCUAUAUACCCACUUAAAAAUGUGCAAUGGCACAGAACAACAUACUUUCCAUUAUAUUUUUGAUAUAUUUUGAAU